CGAUGGGCCGACGUCGCAUGCUCCGGCCGCCAUGGUUAGAGUUUGAUCAUGGCUCAGAGUGAACGCUGGCGGCAGGCCUAACACAUGCAAGUCGAACGGCAGCACAGAGGAGCUUGCUCCUUGGGUGGCGAGUGGCGGACGGGUGAGGAAUACAUCGGAAUCUGCCUAUUUGUGGGGGAUAACCUCGGGAAACCGGGACUAAUACCGCAUACGACCUACGGGUGAAAGCGGAGGACCUUCGGGCUUCGCGCAGAUAGAUGAGCCGAUGUCGGAUUAGCUAGUUGGAGGGGUAAUGGCCCACCAAGGCGACGAUCCGUAGCUGGUCUGAGAGGAUGAUCAGCCACACUGGAACUGAGACACGGUCCAGACUCCUACGGGAGGCAGCAGUGGGGAAUAUUGGACAAUGGGCGAAAGCCUGACGCAGCCAUGCCGCGUGAAUGAUGAAGGUCUUAGGAUUGUAAAAUUCUUUCACCGGGGACGAUAAUGACGGUACCCGGAGAAGAAGCCCCGGCUAACUUCGUGCCAGCAGCCGCGGUAAUACGAAGGGGGCUAGCGUUGCUCGGAAUUACUGGGCGUAAAGGGCGCGUAGGCGGAUCGUUAAGUCAGAGGUGAAAUCCCAGGGCUCACCCUGGAACUGCCUUUGAUACUGGCGAUCUUGAGUAUGAGAGAGGUAUGUGGAACUCCGAGUGUAAAGGUGAAUUCGUAGAUUUCGGAAGACACCAGUGGCGAAGGCGCAUACUGGCUCAUACUGACCUAAGCGCGAAACGUGGG
rnacentral:rRNA from 1 species